rnacentral:tRNA from 1 species
GGUUGUUUAGUUUAUUUAAAAUACAGGUUUUGUAAGUCUGGGAAAGUUUCUGUACUAUCAACCU